rnacentral:rRNA from 1 species
UACGAAGGGGGCUAGCGUUGCUCGGAAUCACUGGGCGUAAAGGGUGCGUAGGCGGGUCUUUAAGUCAGGGGUGAAAUCCUGGAGCUCAACUCCAGAACUGCCUUUGAUACUGAGGAUCUUGAGUCCGGGAGAGGUGAGUGGAACUGCGAGUGUAGAGGUGAAAUUCGUAGAUAUUCGCAAGAACACCAGUGGCGAAGGCGGCUCACCGGCCCCGGUACUGACGCUGAGGCACGAAAGCGUGGGGAGCAAACAGG